rnacentral:rRNA from 1 species
CAGUAGCCGCGGUAAUACGAGGGGGGCAAGCGUUGUUCGGAAUUAUUGGGCGUAAAGGGUGCGUAGGCGGUUUGACAAGUCAUCUGUGAAAUCUCUGGGCUCAACCCAGAGUCUGCAGGCGAAACUGUCGGGCUUGAGUAUGGGAGAGGUGAGUGGAAUUUCCGGUGUAGCGGUGAAAUGCGUAGAUAUCGGAAGGAACACCUGUGGCGAAAGCGGCUCACUGGACCAUUUCUGACGCUGAUGCACGAAAGCUAGGGGAGCAAACAGGAUUAGAUACCCCAGUAGUCCCUGUCUCUUAUAC